CAUCACUCGGCAGCCAACCGGGAUGUCGCCCCAACCCCCCCCACCCCGUCCCAUCACCACCCAUCACCCUCCUUGGUUGCGCAGCGAAGAAAGAGAUACGCUUUGGAGGCAAAAUCCACCGGAUCUGAAUUGAAUUUGCAUUUCCUGGAUCGACGUCGCAUGCAAAAGGUGGCUCGAAUUGAGUCCACUUGCCUUGAGACCGAAUCGCCGGCGUCUGUGCCCGAACCGGGAUCGGGAUUAACGGGGGUCGAUGCGCGCCCAGGUCGCCUGGGUGGAAGCAAGAUCGAAGCGGCCGUCUUCAGGGAGCAUCGAAUGGCCCGGGAUGUGAGGUCGGAUCUUUGUGGAUUCGUGACGGGAGGGAAUCGGUCGGAUUGGGCUCGGGAGUUAAUCGGCGCGGGAGUGAAUCGCGGGGAUUGAAUAUCACGUGGCCUGUGUGCAUCACGUGGCCCUGUGUGCAUCACGUGGCCCUGCGUGCAUCACCUGGCCUGCGUGCAUCACCUGGCCUGUGACAUCACGUGGCCUGUGUACAUCACCUGGCCUGUGACAUCACGUGGCCUGUGACAUCACGUGGCCUGUGUGCAUCACCUGGCCUGUGUGCAUCACCUGACCUGUGUACAUCACCUGACCUGUGGGCAUCACCUGGCCUGUGUGCAUCACCUGGCCUGUGACAUCACGUGGUCUGUGUGCAUCACGUGGCCUGCGUGCAUCACCUGGCCUGUGUACAUCACGUGGCCUGUGUGCAUCACCUGGCCUGUGUGCAUCACCUGGCCUGUGUGCAUCACCUGGCCUGUGUGCAUCACCUGGCCUGUGACAUCACGUGGCCUGUGUACAUCACCUGGCCUGUGACAUCACCUGGCCUGUGUGCAUCACGUGACCUUUGUACAUCACCUGGCCUGUGUGCAUCACCUGGCCUGUGUGCAUCACCUGGCCUGUGACAUCACCUGGCCUGUGUGCAUCACGGGGUCUGUGUGCAUCACCUGGCCUGUGUGCAUCACCUGGCCUGUGACAUCACGUGGUCUGUGUGCAUCACCUGACCUGUGUACAUCACCUGGCCUGUGACAUCACCUGGCCUGCGUGCAUCACCUGGCCUCUGUGCAUCACCUGGCCUGUGUACAUCACGUGGCCUGUGUGCAUCACGUGGCCUGCGUGCAUCACGUGGCCUGUGUACAUCACGUGGCCAGUGACAUCACGUGGCCUGUGUACAUCACGUGGCCAGUGACAUCACGUGGCCUGUGUACAUCACGUGGCCAGUGACAUCACGUGGCCUGUGUGCAUCACCUGGCCUGCGUGCAUCACCUGGCCUGUGAGUGACCCGUACCUGGACUCAAACUGGAAGUUUAAUCUCGACGUGCCGAUCCACUUUGGACGACCGCCGGCUCUGCUCUGGAGCUGAGCCACCGACGCACGGCCUUUGAUUCGGAUUCAUUCACCGUCGCACAGAUCAAAUCGCCCGCCGUGAAGAUUGCAUCGGAGCCGGUUGCGCCCGGACCGCCCGGUGUGUCGAGGCGUUCCCCGUGACCCGGUCAGCUGUACGUCGUCGCUGAAACCCCGCCGCCGGAAACAGUUGGGUUUUUUUUGUUAGGAAAGACCUUCCCGACAAGAAGAGAUUUCGAGACGGAGAGAGGGCAGCCUUGAA